GUCUUAUUGAAUAAUAAUUUUAAGUCAAAUCUGCUCAAUGAAUAACUUAAAUAGCUGCAGUAUUUAUAACUGUACAAAGGUAGCAUAAUAAUUAGAUUUUUAAUUAAAAUCUAGAAUGAAUGAUUUAAUGAAAUAUAAACUGUCUCUAAUAAAAAAAUUAAAAUUAUUAUUUAAGUAAAAAAACUUAAAUAAAAUUAAUAGACGAGAAGACCCUAUAGAAUUUAAUAUUUAAUUUAAAAUAUUUAUUUAAUUAAAAAAAUAUAAAAAAUUAAAUAUUUAAUUGGGGCAAUUUUAAAAUUCAAAAAACUUUUUUUAUUAAUAUACAUUAAUUUAUGAACUAAUAAUCCAAUUCUAUUGAUUAAAAAAAUUAAUUACCUUAGGGAUAACAGCAUAAUUUUUUUUAAUAGACCAUAUAUAAAAAAAAGAUUAUGACCUCGAUGUUGAAUUAAGAUAAAAUUAAAACGAAAAAAUUUUAAAAUUUAAGUCUGUUCGACUUUUAAAAUCUUACAU
rnacentral:rRNA from 1 species